GGUCGGUUCGAGUAUGUGAUAUUUCGGAACAGAAUCUAGUUCCUUCGAUAUCAAUGUAAUCUAGUAUCGAAGGAACUAGAUUCUGUUCCGAAAUAUCACAUACUCGAAC
rnacentral:miRNA from 1 species